rnacentral:rRNA from 1 species
UACGUAGGGUGCGAGCGUUGUCCGGAAUUACUGGGCGUAAAGAGCUCGUAGGUGGUUUGUCGCGUUGUUCGUGAAAACUCACAGCUUAACUGUGGGCGUGCGGGCGAUACGGGCAGACUGGAGUACUGCAGGGGAGACUGGAAUUCCUGGUGUAGCGGUGGAAUGCGCAGAUAUCAGGAGGAACACCGGUGGCGAAGGCGGGUCUCGUGGGCAGUGAACUGACGCUGAGGAGCGAAAGCGUGGGGGAGCGAAACAGGA